CCCUCUUUAUAAACUCCCCUUUUCCCUGCAAUCCAACACCCAAUUUUCCAACUACUCUCCCUGCCGCCACUGAAAGCUCCACCGUUUCGGGUGGUCGACGAGCGGCGGCGACCGGUGAUGGAGACCUCGCGGCCACAGAAUCCCAGCCGGCGGCAGCCGCCGGCCCGCCCGCGCUACAUGCCAAAACGAGGGCAGGUGUUGAAGGGAAUCCUGAGGUCGCUCUUCCGUUCUUGUCUCCCUUCUUACUGCAGGAUGGAAGCUAAAAUCCGGCCCACCCAUGGACGUUGAAGUAAUUGUUAGCAUCUUCGAAAUUUUAGCUUCUAUUUUAUUUUAUUUUUUUUUAAUGUUAUGUACGUGGUAACCUGGUCAUCAUAUAGCAUGAAGAAGAACUCGUGAUCAUUAGAUCUCGUGAAAGCAUUUUUCAAUUAAGUUUAUUUUAAGGCACCCUGCAAGUAUUGUUUCUCGUCUUUCGGUGGCUAUGGUUGCGUCUUCUCACUGACGAGUGCAACUCCCUCAUUGAUCUUGGAUGGCUGAAAGGAGGUUUCGUUAAGCGACUCUAUAAACCCAAAAACUCUGUAGAGCAAGAAGGCAAGACGAAGGAUUGAUCGAGAAGAAAAUUGGUUGGUUAGCAACAAUUUUAGGUCAAAAAUAAAUCGGAAGGAUUGACGAAAUCUUGGGUUAUGCCACAAAGGGCCGGAGCGUCGCAUCUUGUGUGUGUACGUGACGUGUUGUACCGUCCAUGUGCACUGAAUGCAGUGGCGUUAUCAAUGUCAAAUCUUUAGAUUGGGAGAUAUUAUAUAUAUAUAUAUGCCACCAUGAGGCUUUUCCCAUGGGUAGAAAAGUAAUUUGCUCUAUUAGACAAUACAAAGUUACGAGAGGAGUGCGAUGGUGAAGCUGGCGUUUCUUAUUUACGAGCAUCAAUAAACAGAGCUGUAGCUUGACGUGUUACACCAACAUUUCAUAUCGAACAAUGUUUAUGAUAUGUUUGGAUGGAAAGUAAGGACGUAUCAUUCUCGAAUAAAGUAUGUACUCAACUUUCAAUGAAAAUCCAACUCA
rnacentral:lncRNA from 1 species